CACUGCCCCAUCGACCGGAAGUCGCUUUCUAGUUGGUACAUAAGCACAGAGUUAGAGUAAGCAAGGCUUGUCGGGUGGCAAGUGGUUUGAAGCACCUUGGUGGCAGUAAAUUCCUCAACCUUCCAGAUGUGUUGCUGUUUUAUGGUGUGGAAGGGACAGGCCCUGAAGAGAUGGCUCAAAUACGAAGAACCUCAUCAUCAGACUCGGAGAGCUCGGUCCAGUGCUUAACUGUGGAUCUCCUCAUCUGCCUCAAUCAGUUGCUGGAUGAAGAUUCUAUGAUAAUUCAGUCCCGUGUCAUACAGCCCUGACUGCAGGGAAGGGAGCAGGUGGAGGCUGGCAUGCAAGACAGAGCUGUGCUCAAACUCCUGUCUUAGGAAAGUGACAGCAUAAACAGUUCACGCUGGAAUAUGCCCUACUUCCUGGACUUCCUGGGUUCUCCUAGGCUCUGUCUCUCUGAGAGACUGAAGUAAUUUUCCACAGAACAGCUUGUGAGCUCUCCACUUUGGUCUGCAGGUGGACCUAUUGAGCUACUCCAGACUGGUUCAGGAAUUUUAAAUGAAGAAUCUGUUUGGCUCUAUUAUUUUCAUGUCAGUUUCUUAGGUUUAUCUAAAUAAACAUUUCCAUAUUCUUUUUGUCGGCAUUUAAG
rnacentral:lncRNA from 1 species